UACGGGGGGGGCAAGCGUUGUUCGGAAUUACUGGGCGUAAAGGGCUCGUAGGCGGCCAACUAAGUCAGACGUGAAAUCCCUCGGCUUAGCCGGGGAACUGCGUCUGAUACUGGAUGGCUUGAGUGUGGGAGAGGGAUGCGGAAUUCCAGGUGUAGCGGUGAAAUGCGUAGAUAUCAGGAAGAACACCCGUGGCUAAGGCGGCUCUCUAGUACGGUACUGACGCUGAGACGCGAAAGCGUGGGGAGCGAACAGG
rnacentral:rRNA from 1 species